AUAUCAGUCAUGCAUAGCAUAUCAAUAAGCGGAGGAAAAGAAACUAACAAGGAUUCCCUUAGUAACGGCGAGUGAAGCGGGAAGAGCUCAAAUUUGAAAUCUUCAAGGUUUUACCUUGACGAAUUGUAGUUUAAAGAAGUGUUUUCUGUUGAAGUUUUGGUAAAAGUUCUUUGGAAUAGGACAUCAUAGAGGGUGAGAAUCCCGUAUUUGACCAUUACUUUCAGCUUUGUGAUACACUUUCAAAGAGUCGGAUUGUUUGGGAAUGCAGUCCAAAAUGGGUGGUGAAUUUCAUCUAAAGCUAAAUAUUGGCGAGAGACCGAUAGCGAACAAGUACCGUGAGGGAAAGAUGAAAAGAACUUUGAAAAGAGAGUUAAACAGUACGUGAAAUUGUCAAAAGGGAAGCGUUUGACACCAGUGUUGUUUUCUCGAAAAUCAAUUAAAAAGAGUUGGAUUUUGUGUUGUAUUGACUUUAUCAGGCUUUCUUCACUCUUUUCCAGCUUUUUUUAAUGCACUUUUCGUUUAACAAGUCAACAUCAGUUUCUUUUGUUGUAAAAAGGUCAUUGGAAGGUGGCUUUCUCUUCGGAGAAAGUGUUUAUAGCCUUUGACUCAUGCAAUCGGAGAGACUGAGGUCUGCAGCGUAGAUCCUUCGGGGUUAGAUACAUUUGUGCUAAGUUAUAGCUUUUCAUAGACAACUUGUUGACUAUGUUUAGUCUUGUAGCUUACUCGCUUAUGCUAUUUUACCUACGCUUAGGAUGUUGAACUCUAUCACACACAG
rnacentral:rRNA from 1 species